rnacentral:lncRNA from 1 species
AAGAAAUAGUUAUAAACAAAAUUCAAAAAAACUUUUAAAGUACUUAAAUAUUUUGAAAUGCUGUUUCAGUUGUUAAUUUUUCAAACUAUGAAAAGGUGUUACAUUUAAUACACCUCUAUGUCAAAAGAGGGCACACUAAGGCACAUAUUCACAUUUAGGAAUACAUCAUAAAGAGUAAGAAAUAAAGCCUUUAUCCCUUUAUAGAAGUUAUAUCUAAAUGGGAUAUUCAACAUUUUCAUCCUGGUCUGAGAAAAGGUCUUUAAUAAUCCUCUACUGAAAAUAAGUGCCUACCUAGUACAGUAAAACAGACUUUUUUUUUGUUUUCUGCCAUUCCUUCUUCUCUCUAAAAGAAUCAAAUAUCCUAUCUAAGUAUGACCACAAAGUGAUGACAAAUUUGUGAGUAGUUAAUGAUGCAGACUCUCAGUUAAAUAGACACAACAUAAAGUAUAUUUUACUAUGAAAUGAAUUGAUUUAAGCUGAUUUCCAUAUUGUACUUCCAAAUGUUAUCAUUGGAAACAAUCAUAAUUUAAAUAUUUGUGACAUCUUUGGAAUUUUCAUACCAGUCUCACUCAAAUAUUUUUACUCUUUUGUUUACAAGUUAUUUCAAACUAACUUAACUCUCGGGGCGGGGGGGGGGGGGAGGGUGGAGCGUGAGCCCCCAUUCUCUCCCUCGCUCCCCUCUCCAGCUCCUCCCUCUUACCUGCGAGUCGAGUCCCCGCCGAGGGCCGCCGCGCCUCGGUCCCUCCCCGCUGGGCCGAGGGGCAGCCGCCGCCGUUGCCGAGAGCCAAGAGUCCGAAGGGAGCCGGCCGGGGCCUCCCCGGCAGCAGGAGCAGCUCCACCGGGAAAGGAGGAGACAAAACAGCACCGCGCCUCCUCCCUUACACACUCCCUCACUCACUCCCUCUCUCUCUCUCACAAACGCUCCCCCGCCUGCUUCACAACAGCUCCUACCACCCCCAACCCCCAACGGCGGCGGCAGCGACGGCGGCGACACUGAGCCCGGCGCACGCAGUAAUGGUCCCCCCAACCCGCCGCCGCCGAGCUUUCCCCGCGCCCGGCCCCCUCCCUCCAGCCCGCUCAGCUCCGCCCCCUUCGCCUCCUGCUGCCGCCACCAGGACACACGAUUCCGCCCGCCCCGCUCCGCGCGCGCGCGCCCCCCCUCCACACACCCAUUUCACACGCACAUCCCCGGCGGGAGGGGGAGCCGCGCCGUAUUCCCCAGGAGGCGCUCGGCUCCGACUGGCGGCGGGCAGCGUCCUUGGCCAGCGUGCAGCCCCAGCUCGGAUCUCUGUCCCACACCUGGAUUGGCUGCUGUGUGGAAUCUCCCCGUUUCCCCCACCCCACCAAAGUUCCCGCAUCCAUUCAAUGCGCCCGCCUUGAGCCCCUCGAGCACGCGAAAACUUCCCACCUCCAUUCUCAAGCUACCACAGGCCGGUGCUCUCGACAACUCCCGGUCAUGAGAUGGCGGGACUUCUAGGCCUGGCUGCAGCCAGCCUCACCUGGCUCCUCUACCCUCCCCCACAAGCUAGACUGCCCCUCCCUCGCAUCCCCACUGGCCACGCUCUGCGAGGGCUGUCCAGGCCUCUCGGUCCUUAAAACCUCCGUUCCAGCGGGGGGUUGGUCUGUGCACCUGCCCAGGCGCAAAACAGCUGCCCGGUACCCCUACCCUUCCUCUUCAUCUCUACCUUUUUCGAGUCCCCUGAAUCCUCCCUCCGCCCCGCCUCCAAUGAUUAAUAUCCCUUCAAUCUCCUUCCACAGGACCGAGCCCAGACUAAGGCAGUUUGACAGUUAUGGGUAGGGGGAAAGGGCAAAACACGAGGCGCUUCUCUCUCCCUCUCAACCAGCGCCCCUCCCCGAGGGGAGUGGGCCAGCUAUCCCCGCCCAAAAGUGACCCCGCCCCCGGUCGGUGACGUACCGUGUUGACCCCGCCCCCUGACGCUCCUCGCGCCAGUCUUCUCCUCCUUCUCCCUCCUGACAGCGUCACCUCCUCGCCCGCCCCGUUGACUCCGCCCCAUUCCCCGAAAUUACAACCGACUGAACUGCCCCGGCGGCCGUUGGAGUUUGCGUUCGGUUUCCUCCGCCCGCGUGGCUCGGUUGCGGGUCCCGGCGCUCGCGUUCAGGCUCUGCUGGGCGCUUCCGAGCGGGCUCGCUGAGGGCCAGGGCGCGGGCGCCAGCGCGCGCACCACCUUGCCCUCUUCCCGUUUCCUCCCCUAUUCCCCCACCCCCCCGCACCGCUCGCCUACCCGCUGCGCCGGCUCCCCAGUCGGAGCCAAGAGGCCAUUCCGCGACGUGCAUCGCCGAAGUUUGCCCAAAGUUUCUCCUGGAACAGCUCUUGUUCCUCUGAAGUUUGCGGACCCACAAAGAAAGCGAUUCGAGCCCUAUUAGGAGAGCCAAAAUGUAAAGUUUUGUUCAGAGAAUUGAAGAUUCAGGGCGGAAGAAGUGGUGGACGGUCGGUGUGGAAUGGGGACUCUAGGAGACCGUAGUAGUCAUGUCAGGGCUCGAAAGGGAAUCUAGCAUGCGUGUUAUGUCCAAAAAAACAAGUUGGCACUUAGAAUUAGGAAAACUCGAGUUAAGAUUUUAUUUCACACUUGUUAACUGUGACCUUGGGCAAGUCAUUUAACCUCUGCCUAAAUUUCUUCAACUGUAAAGUGAGGAUAAUAACACCAACUGCUAAGGCAGUUUUGAGGAUCAACUGAAGAUGGUAACGCAUUUACUGUAGUUCCUGACAUAUAAUGGGUGCUAUAUCAAUUAUAGUUCUUUUUAAAGCAGGACAUCCAGGUGACUAAAUGAAUAAAGCCAGAAGACUGGAAUUAAGAUGUGGCUGG